AGAAUCAACGCUGGCGGCGUGCCUCAGACAUGCAAGUCGAACGAUUAAAGCUCCCUUCGGGGAGUGCAUAAAGUGGCGCACGGGUGAGUAACACGUAAGUAAUCUACCCUCGGGUGGGGAAUAACGUCCGGAAACGGACGCUAAUACCGCAUAAUGCAGCGGCACCGCAAGGUGACAGUUGUUAAAGAUUUAUUGCCUGGGGAGGAG
rnacentral:rRNA from 1 species